CUCAGCCUGACGGACAACAAAGAACUUUCACAUGACGGUUGUGAUGGUCGAUCCAGGGACUAUGACUAGUCUUCACCAACUGUUUUCAAGCUUUUAUCG